CAUCAUUAAAUAAAAUUGUCUGAAAUUAAAGGGAACCUUAGAGACCGACCCUUAUCUUCCUCGUACUUGUUUUAUCCGCCACCAUCCGCCUUGCUGCCGCCGACCGAAAAUCGUCUCCGGCGGCCAAAAAAUGGUCUCCGCUGGCGGCGAAGCUCCAAACCCGCCCAAAUUUACACCCUUGAAUCCCCUCCUCCUCUUUCCAAAGCCCCAAAUACCAACCUUCGAAUCCCAGCCGAACUCGUCGAAUAUCCAAAACAGUGACACUGCCUCUGCCGCCCAUGGCGGCGCCACCAUCCAAACGACCCCAAUUUUACACCAUAGCCCCGUUUUCAUCUUCCCAAGCCAUAUCCAACCUUAUCUUCCCUCCAAUAUUAGCUAGUUCCUUCGAAUUUCAAAAUCGAAAUCUGGUCCAAUACACCAAUUCACCCAAAUCCGACCAAAUUUACACCCCGGAUUUAUCCUGAUUCUCCCCAAAUCUCAAACUAAUUUCCUUCAAACCUGACUAGAACCCUUCGAAUAUCAAAUAAAAGGUUCGAACCCUAAAAAGCCUAAAAUCAAGGUUAUGCAUGCAGGGGAAAGUUUUAAUCUCCUAAGGUUUUAGGGCCGAUUUCAUUGCGAAAUAAUGUCAGUCACCUGUUCUUGACAGGGAAUAGAUGAUUGACAUUGUUUUGCGGUGAAAUUGAGAAGUUCAGUCCGGUCCGAGGGUUGUAAUGGGUGAGUUUCCCAUUAUCCUUUCUGUUUUGUUUGGUUUCACAUUUGUUUCCCAGUUCUUUUGGUUCUAUUUUUUUUUCAACUGUUCCUUUUUCUAAUUUAGCGUAAGGAAAGUUUCAAUUUCGGAAUUUAGGUUUUUCUUAUCUUUUUCCUUUCAUUAAUGGUUCAAUAUUCAUGUGGUGUAGGGCUUUCUAGGUCCUCUUUUGAUUGAUUUCGUUUUGUUAAUUUUUUUGCCAUAAUUGUUUUAGAUUAGUUGUGUUAGAUACCCGAUUAUAGUUUCAAUCUUCACGUUAAAUGUUAAAACUUCUUCCCCUAGUGCUGUUUUCACCUUUGAAAUCCGUUUAAUGUUUAUUCUAUUUUGAUUUGAGUUUUGUGUGGGCUUAUUAGAGACUGGGUUUGUUUGCUGUUAUUUUUUUGCAUUUCAUUUGGUUUUGUGCAUUUUGCUAUUUUGUUGCAGUAUAGUUUCAUGUUUGAGUUUUGAAUUGUUCACUUAUUGUUUUACUAGUUUAAUGAUAAAAUUAUUCUUAGGUUACAUAUCAAGUUCAAUAUAGGUUAUGAGAUUAUUAGUUCAACUGUAGUUUUUUUUUAUUAUUAUUAUUGAAAUUGGUUGGAUACUACUCAACAUUUCCAGCCCCUUGAUUAAUUAACUGUGGUCAUCUUUGACCAGGUAUAAAAGGGCUGGAUUUAACUAACUUGGGCAAGUAACUCCUGAAUUUAAUCAAGGGUAGUUUAGGAACUCUAGCUUAAAGAAUCAUUAGUGCCACUAAUCUAGAAGCUUCUAAGUCAAAGCUCGAAUAGUAAUUUGUAAUUAUUGGUACCAUUCCUUGAGUAACAAGGAAUAAAUAAACAGACCAAUGAGCUAAAAUCUGAAAAAUAAAAUAGGGACUAAGAGGUAUAAUAAAAAUAAGAAGGUUGCCCUAAGCUCUGCCUAUAAAAAGGCAUACCAUAAGGAACAACUUUUGAACCAUGAAAAAUUCCCAAAAGGUUCCAGCUCUGAAAAUUUUCCCAAAAACACUCCUAAUUCAAAUCUCUACAAUUCAAAAUUAAGAAUCCAAAUAAAAAACGUGUUAGUCUGAAAAUCUCAAAGCUUUUUCCCAUUUAACUAUAUCAUUCAGAUCCUUAGAAAUAAAAACAAAAACAAAAACUCCAAAAUAGGCUGUUCUAUUGAAGUUUUAAAUCAAUUUCGAGUUCUAGAGUUUGAUUUGCAUCAUUUAGCCUAGGAUUUGGUUGCUGAAGUUUUCUGGAGUUUUCAUGGGUUAAUUUCGAGUUUUUUUGAGUUCAACCAAGGCUAUUAUUGGUUAUUUUGGGUUGAUGCAAUUUUUGCUUCCAAACUAAUCCUACUAUUGUGUUGCUGUUGCGUUUCAACUGUUUGUUUCUCAUUGUUGACUCAUUUCUCUUCAUUUUGACUUAACCCAGGUACUCAUUCUGCUAUUGCGCUGCUGCAUAACUCUAUUUAAGAGUGAAAUGAAGACUAUGCAUGAAUUCUCAUGUUCAACUCUGUUUAAUUGGUUUACUGUAGUCCCAUUAGUCCUCCUCUUUAUCUAGUAGCUGAUUUGGAACUGAGAUAUGUAAUUAUUGUACUAGGAACCAGUUUGUUAGAAUUAUAAUUGUUUAACCGGACUAUACGGACGAUUACUUUCAGAUCUAUGUGGACAUUGUGAGUAAGAUGCUAGCUAUAGACAAUUUCAGUUUAAGCUAUUAGAAUAGUUUGUAAUUUGGAUCCAUGUUGUUUGCUUGAUGAUAUUAGCCCUAUUAUGUUUAUCAAAUGCUUAGGAUUGUCUAUCAAAUGGUAUAGUGUCCACACCGUAUGUCUGUUUGAAAUUGAUGCAGGAACCAGUUACGAUUUCCAAUAUUAAAUUUCUAUUUCGAGUCUAUAAUGCUACAAGCACGUGAA
rnacentral:lncRNA from 1 species